GCCGGGCGUGGUGGUGCAUGCCUGUAGUCCCAGCUACUCGGGAGGCUGAGGCAGGAGAAUCGCUUGAACCCAGGAGGCGGAGGUCACAGUGAGCCAAGGUCAUGCCACUGCAUUCCAGCCUGGGCAACAGAGUGAGACUCUGUCUCAA
rnacentral:SRP_RNA from 1 species